rnacentral:rRNA from 1 species
GAUGAACGCUGGCGGCGUGCUUAACACAUGCAAGUCGAACGAUGAUGCCCAGCUUGCUGGGUGGAUUAGUGGCGAACGGGUGAGUAACACGUGAGUAACCUGCCCUUGACUCUGGGAUAAGCCUGGGAAACUGGGUCUAAUACCGGAUACGACCAUCUGGCGCAUGUCAUGGUGGUGGAAAGCUUUUGUGGUUUUGGAUGGACUCGCGGCCUAUCAGCUUGUUGGUGGGGUAAUGGCCUACCAAGGCGACGACGGGUAGCCGGCCUGAGAGGGUGACCGGCCCCACUGGGCCUGAGACACGGCCCAGACUCCUACGGGAGGCAGCAGUGGGGAAUAUUGCACAAUGGGCGCAAGCCUGAUGCAGCGACGCCGCGUGAGGGAUGACGGCCUUCGGGUUGUAAACCUCUUUCAGUAGGGAAGAAGCGAAAGUGACGGUACCUGCAGAAGAAGCGCCGGCUAACUACGUG